UACGGAGGGAGCUAGCGUUUUUCGGAAUUACUGGGCGUAAAGCGCACGUAGGCGGCUUUUUAAGUCAGGGGUGAAAUCCCGGGGCUCAACCCCGGAACUGCCUUUGAAACUGGGAAGCUAGAAUCCUGGAGAGGCGAGUGGAAUUCCGAGUGUAGAGGUGAAAUUCGUAGAUAUUCGGAAGAACACCAGUGGCGAAGGCGACUCGCUGGACAGGUAUUGACGCUGAGGUGCGAAAGCGUGGGGAGCAAACAGG
rnacentral:rRNA from 1 species